AUCCUUCGGGAUAGUGGCGCACGGGUGAGGAACACGUAGCUAACCUGCCUCAGAGUACAGAAUAACUCCUCGAAAGAGGUGCUAAUACUGUAUAAGCUCACGAGCUGUAGAUGCUCAUGAGAAAAGAUUUAUCGCUUUGAGAGGGGGCUGCGGCCCAUCAGCUAGAUGGCGAGGUAACGGCUCACCAUGGCAACGACGGGUAGGGGGUCUGAGAGGAUGAUCCCCCACACUGGGACUGAGACACGGCCCAGACUCCUACGGGAGGCAGCAGUGAGGAAUAUUGCACAAUGGGGGAAACCCUGAUGCAGCGACGCCGCGUGGGUGAUGAAGGCCUUCGGG
rnacentral:rRNA from 1 species